GCUAGGUAGUUUUAUUAUAUAAUACUAAUUAGUAUCAUAUGUAAAUAUAAGUAUUUUUCACACAACUGUACACAUUCACAUUUGGAAUAUUGGCACUCUGUUAAGAGUGCAAGUCGUUAAAGUGGCAGUGAUCUAUUUUACAAAUCUUUAUUGUGAUCGCUCACUUUGCUGGACUCUUGCAAGUUUUUCAUUGUAAGGCUCUAUGUACGUUGCAAUAUUCAAUGAGCACAAUACGCAUCAUUGACUCGAAACUAUUUAUGCGAUCGUUCUACCUCGUCUAUCGUGUUAUCGAAUACGUUAGAAGUGCGCAAUAUAUUAAUUCAUUCGCUAAAAACGAAUAUGAACGAAUUUAAUCGUUACCACGUAUAAAUGUGUAUCACUUAUCGAUCAUCAAACUUUUCGAUUAUGCGAAAGAUUAAGUGCGUUACACGUUUACGUAGAUUUAAAGCAAUAUUUCUUUUUCUUCUUCGUCUCAAUGUGUGCGCGCAUGUGUGUAGACCGUAUUUGUGUAGACUGUUACCAUUUGUAUACGUGCAAUUUUUAAUUUUAUAUUUCUUAUAAUUUCAGUGCGAUCUUAAAUCAAAGUGAAAUAUAUUACGACAAUGAACACUCAACGAUAUUUCGCGAUGAACACAUAACGCGGCAUGCCUUUUCUCAGAUUCUUCGUAGGUCCUGGCGCGCUCCAAGUUUUCGACGUAGCUCCAUCCGAAGUUCGUUGCAUUUGCAGCGCGACGUAAGCUGUUCCUCAGAAAGACCGCACAAGCUUUGCUACUUUCCGUGAUAAUCUCGUAGAGCUGACUUUCCAGGUUGAGACUGUUCGUGACACCGCUGUUCGGAAAGCGUGGCGGGGGAAGCGGGGGCGGUGGCCUCUCCGGUUGAGCGGGAGCGACGGAAGAUCGCUCGGAUCCAGCUGCAAACACAACUGCAGAAUCAUAUUAAUCAGAUGUCAAUUUCUUUUUCAGGUACCUUGCGAGCUUAACUACUUCAAUUUUGGAUUUUUAUUAGGACCUCCCAAUUCACUAAUAUUAUCGAUUGCAAGCGUCUAGGAAUUGAUACAACGAUAAAGCCAAGGUGAUUUAUGUUUGUCAAGGUUUUUAAGCCUUACAUGAAUCUGGAUGUGGCUUCUCUUCUGCCACCAUCAGGGCUGCACUCUCUGCUGGCGUUAUAUUCCAGAUCUUCUUUGAAGGCAUCGAUUUAACAUGCACUGAUGGGAUAGAAUCAAGAAGUGCUAAUACCUCAAAUUUAACUUAUCACCUGACUGAUGUUCCAUGAAAAUGGAAUUUUGCAUCCAUUGAUAGUAAAUAGAGGAACCUUCUUGUAAGUGAAGAUCCAGAAGAUGGCUAGGAAUGCACUGAACGGUAGGAACGUGUAGUUUUCAAGGCUAGACUGUAACACAUUAUGAAUGAAUAUAAAUUACCUUCAUGCUUGGAAAACCAAUGCCAACCAAAAAAUUAGCCAUCCAAUUGACAAGAACUGCAAUGGACAUAGCAGCAGGUCUAGGGCCUUGCGAAAACAACUCUGCUGUAAUCAUCCAAGGAAUAGAUCCAGGCCCCACAGCAAAAAAUACCACGAAACUAAGCGUCGAUACAACCGAUAGAUAGGACAUCCAGUCAAUCAUUUCCUGUACGUAACCAAAAAACUCCUAUCAGGCAGUAGAAUCAAGUUCUUCUUUCCUGAGCAGCUGGAGGAGCCUCAGGAUAACGAAAAAUAUAGGACAUGAGAAAUGUUGGUGCCUGUAUUUUUAAUGUGCUUAAUAUAGAGUCAAAAUCCUGGUCAUUUCUGUAGCGUUAAUGAAUGAUCGAAUAGAAAAGUUGCGAUUUAUGCAUACAUAUUCUCAAGAUAAAUAUAAUAUAAAAACACGAACAACAGGGUUGAGCAAAAAACAACGUAGGUUGGUAAUAGAAAGUGAAUAUCUCCUCCAGACUGUCACGAAAGAGGUCAUUAGUGGAUGAAAGGGAGGGUUUUGGAUUAUAAAAAGCAUUACUAAUAUUAAAGGAAAUAAAAUCAAAUAAAAUGAAAUAAUGAGUGCUAUACUAAACACUUGACAAACUUUUUCACACAUUUCCUUUUGUGUGUGUGUAUGUGUGUGUAUGUUGUUUUUGAUAUAACUAUAUUCGGAUAUAUCUUUGGAUAAGAUGAAAUAAUAUUUCAUUAAUUCGCAAAUUUUAUUGAUAGGAAAUGUAUCAUUAUUCACAUUUAUGAUCAAAGUAUUAUUGUAUGAAAAAGGAGCAGUGUCGUUAAACGAAAUAAAUAUUUUUAAAGCGCAAAUAAAGAAUAACAUGCAGGAAUGUGGAUACUUAUAAGUUAUAUGAAUGGUUGGGAGGAAAUUAAAAUGAAUCCUUUAAGUGAUGCAGAUUUAUAUAAGUAUAAUAGCGAUAGUUCUCACUGUUGGUGCAGUGCUGCACUCCAGCUGUGAACAAAGUGUUAAGUACACCCUUUUCAAAGGUAUACAGAAGUGAAAAAGCACAAAAAGAUAGCUAUGUACAAUUCACAUUUGUUCGUGAUAUUGGUUUAUCUCAUAGUACUUCAUGAUGUAUGACUAUUAAAAAUGAUUUUAAGAGAAUUUCAUUUCAUUAUCGCAAAGAGAAAUUAAUUGUUUACUUUAUACCCAUAAAUAAUGGGAACUUAUGUCUACCUUAUAAACAUGUACCCCAAGAAAUCUCCAAAUCAUUUCCUCGAGUUUUUUUAACAUAAACUAUAUACUUUUUAAUUUGGACCGAAAGACGAAAUAAAAGUUAUUGCUCACCUUUAUUAGAAACGAA